UAGGAUUAUAGUUUAUAAAACAUCUAAUUUGCAUUUAGAAAAAACCUCUUAUAGGUUAAUCUU
rnacentral:tRNA from 1 species